UAACGCGUGAGGAACCUGCCUCAAAGAGGGGGACAACAGCUGGAAACGACUGCUAAUACCGCAUAAGCCCACGGCUCGGCAUCGAGCAGAGGGAAAAGGAGCAAUCCGCUUUGAGAUGGCCUCGCGUCCGAUUAGCUGGUUGGUGAGGUAAUGGCCCACCAAGGCGACGAUCGGUAGCCGGACUGAGAGGUUGAACGGCCACAUUGGGACUGAGACACGGCCCAG
rnacentral:rRNA from 1 species